rnacentral:lncRNA from 1 species
UGUGGUAUUUCUGGAUCCUUACCAAGGCAGUAUUUGUAUAUGCCUUCCCUCAAAGUAUGUGGUAUUUUUGGUAUGAGGCAUAGUGAUAUUGUCUUCUCUCUCACCCUACUCUAAUAAGGUUUUGAUAUCUGGAGCUCUUAGGUGGGAGACAGAUAAUACAUACUUACAAGUCAUUUAUUGCAUAGUCAAACCAUGGAUCAGAACAAGUCAAUAAGUCAAAUCAAGAUGUGCAUGUGUGGCGAGUGAAAGGUGUAUGGUGAUGAUGGUGAUAACAAUGGUGAAAGUCUAAUUCUACUUUUGCUCUUUUAAGAGGAUACAUACCUUUCUUGCACUUUGAAGCCUUUUUUAGGAGAAUGAGAUGCUCUAUAUAUUUUUUUUUCUUUUCUCUCAGGUGGGUAUCUUGUACCCCUAAUUCUACUAUCGGAAAAAUAGAAAUAGGAGAAUGUUUUUGGCUAUUCUCUACCGGAUUAGGAGUAGAAUACUUUUGGGUGGCUCUAGAGAUGGAAAUGAGUGGAUAUAUGUGGAUGCAUACUUCCAGAGUAGAGGCAACAUGUGUGAGUAAACGUGCAAGUGAAUCUUCAUUUUAACCACAUGACAAGCUCCUAAGGGUCUACAUAGUUUGACCACACUUAAUGCUUAUAAGCAGUAAAAAGUAAAUGUAUGGUUCUUAGUCUAAUAAGCAUGUAUGUAUGGCUGUGGUAGGAAUUUAAACUUUUAUCAUAUAGGAACUCAUCAUGUGUUAUUUUAAAGAUUUUCAAAGAUAAGAUUCUCCAGAAUUCUAGCAUCUUAGGAACAGAUAAAUAGCAGCUCAACCUUCCCAUAUCAUAUCCGUUAACGACUUAGACUUUAAAUCAAGUACUCUUCCCACAAGUUCACGUUUAGAGCAGGUUUAAAUUAUAACAGUUAUGCCUAAACUUGAGAUAGAGCUUAAACUUGAAAACUAGGUACAUGGCAGAGCAACUACUUAUUCAUAUCCAUGUAAGAGUUUAUCAUUUAAGUUCAGUUUGGCCUAGACACUUUAUUUAUUUAUUUAGCAAACUAAGCAAAGAUAUAUAUAAGCACAAAAUCUGUAUUUGGGUUUUUAUGAUUAUGCAUCUUUUUAUUAUUUGAGUAAAGUAUAAACGCGAGUAGAAACACUUAGCUGAAUAAAUGGGGGUGCUCUCCUCCAAGCUGGAUUUUGACGUAAUUUCUUCUGAUGUAGCUAGCAGAUGACGGAGGGGUAUUUGAAUGUCGGCAGCACCCUGACAGCGAUUAUUAUGUCCUUCGCCGGCUAGUCUUCUUUGAUCCUUAAAUUCUGUGGAGCUCAAAUAGACAAGAAAGCUUUGUAGAACUGGUUAAGUGUUAGCAUAAAAUCUCUUAGCCUUUAUCAUAUUGAGAUUCCUCCUAAUAAAUUUUAUUUUAUUUAGCAGGAUCAUGCACUUAUUAUUUUUAUAUUUUUAUUGUAAGAUGAAAACAUAUUUAUUUUAUGCCACCACAGUCAAUAUACCUAUGGGUUUUAAACCACAAGUCUACUCACAUGGGGCUUUAGAUUUUAUGAUGCAGUGCAACGAACAAAUAUUUUUGUUUUCUUUUCUAAUGCUAAUGUGGAAAAGUAAAUAUGCUAAUGCAAGUGAUGGAAUAAAAAGGAAAAGGAAUGCAGAAAAGAUAAAUAUGGAUAAAUACUGAUUUUACGUUCCGGCAAGGAUCUAAUGUUUUAAGUCUUCUGGACAAGACUUUUCAUCAUGUUCAUCCUUUAGGUGCAUCAUUUGAUUAGGUGUGGGCCUUGACAUCUGCACCUCUUGAUACGGUGUCACCCAUGUUCUUCAUUUGUCUAGCAGUUCGAGGUGCGGCAUUGGCAGCAUCCUGCUUAGUGUGUUUGUGCUCGCAGAUCCAAGUCCUUCACCAGGUUUUGCUUGAAGUGUACCUGCUCAUAGAGACAAGGCAGAGAUCAAGUGCAUGGGCCCUGUUGGUGAAAAACACCAACAUAACCAAAAGUGUAUUUGUUCUUCUCUAACCUUAAGCAUAGUGAGCAAGACAAAGUUGAUGGAUAAGAUCAUGAGUGUAGCAUUUAAAACAUUUGUCAGAUCAGAUCGCUCGUCCUAAUGGAAAGAUAAUCUAUCUAUAUUUAUGUUUUUUUAUAUAUCUUCCAAAGAUUGAAUGUGCAACAUUUUAGCUUAUAUGAUUAGGAGUGUGGGAUCAUGAAGGUAGUACUAAGAACAAAGAUUAAAGGACUAAACAUGUUGAAUUAAUUGGGUUGGUUAAUUUAUGUUUGUCUCUUUAUUCAUGUGAACGCCAGAACCAAGGAGAAGCUUAUAAAAGUGAUAGUCAAGUACCUUAAGAUGUUACCUUACUUGAAGAGUGAUGGUACAGUAUCACCUUAUGGAAGCUUUCCUUUCUUAGCGGUUGUGCACCGUGUUUGUGGCACUCUUUGUCUCGUUCCAUGGAUCAUCUCUCUAUGAUGAAUGAGCUAUGUCUUUGUUGUGCAAAUCGUUAAACUUCAUGUGUCUCCUUUGUCUCCAAUGUGAGUUUGUAUCUCAGGACUUCCCAUGUCGAUAUUGAAAGUUUUCCUGCAGGGGUGAGUCUGACAAAAUAUACCAAUGUCUACUCAAGUAGUUUUUAGUUCAGUAACCAAACUUGACUCCAUGUCUAAUCAGAUUAAGGAAGGCUAUUCAACCUAAGCACCAGGCUUAAUUUUAAUGCCAAUGGAAGUAUGUCGAGUACUUCCAAACCAACACUUGCUUGUGAAUAGACAAAGGUAGCAUGACAACAUUUAUAGAGAUCUACUCAGGUAGAGAUGAAAAAUAAGUUUAGUGUUUAGAAAAAUUGAGCAUGCCUCAAAAGUAGGGACAAUCAACAUAGCAACAUGGCAAAGGAUGUUCUUAUGUAAGGUAUUUCCCCCAAGCUUGAAUUUUGCAAAAUUCAAGAUUGGAUGAACUAAAUUCAAUGUUGCAUGAUGAUUGGUUGGGCAUACCUUGCGCUUGUCAUUCCUCGGAUCUUCUUGCUCCAAUCCUAGAAAGGUUAGUGACACGAAUACCCGAAGGAAUAUUUCUACAAUUUAUCUUUAUAUGCUCAAUACACAAGGCAAUGUUGCAAAUAAUUAAAAGGUCAUGUUACGAUCUGAUAAGUGCUUGUUUUAGGACACUAAGCUUGUCCUUGGGAAACCAUCAAAUUAUGUUGGUGAAGUGGUUUCCCCUCCAACACCAACCUAAGUGUGCCUAUAUCAAGAUCGACUCAACGAUAUCUGCAAUAUUUAUUAUAGACAUAUGCAUCGAUAACCACCCCUUUAAAGUUUUUAUAAAUAGAAAGGAAGAGGGAGUUGGAGAUCUCAAAUGUGGUAAGGUUGGAGAGACCAAUUGAUUGGGGAGAUGUUUUAUAUGAGCAAGGACUUGGUGAGGUAUUUAUGAAAUAACUUCCAUGCUCACUGUUGUUUCUCUCAUUCUCAAACUCUAAGGAUGAUUCUUCAUGAAUGCUUAAAAUUCCUCUAGGACUGUCUCUCAAGUUUAUUUUAUCCAUCCAUUCAAUGGUGAUAGCACAUGGAUUUUUAAUGCCCUCUAGCCAUUGAUGUUGCUCUUCUCGAUCCUCCUUGUGGUCUUGGUGACUCUUAUGCAUGGGAUGUCUAGAGAGAUUCAUAGGAUCAUCGGGAGGUUCAAGAGAAAGAGCAUAGUAGAAAUUAUUAGGCUCAAGGAUGGGUUUAAAGAUAGGUUCGAAUGAGUCAUCAAAAGUGGGCGUAGAAGGGGAGAAGAUGAGAUUGUCUUCUAAAUGGCUUAGCUCUCCUUCUAUUGCAUCACUUAAGAUGCCAUCCUUGGGUCUUUCUAGAUGUCCAUCAAAGGGAUUGGAUUUGAGAUGCUUUCUAAGAGAUCCCUUCUUAGGAAGGUUCAGACUAUAUGCAAUUAAAGGUCUCUUAUGAAGCACGAAGUUUAAGCUCAUCCCAAAAUGAAUUUCCAAAGGUAGAAUUUCUUCUUCCCUUAGAUGAUUUUGGAGCACUACUAGUUUGGGUUGGAUAGCCGAAUCAUGGGAUUGAAAUGUUUGGAAAUAAGCUAUUGAAACUUCCUUUCCUUGUCUAGGAGAUGAUUCCUUCUCUAUCUCUAGGAUUUUUUAUGAAGACUAGUGCAAGAAGGAUGUCCACGAAUGAAGACAUACCUUGCUUUACUAACAAAUAAAGAAAGAAAAACUCUACCAAAGGUUAUACGAUUAAGACCAGUGUGAAAAUAUCAAGGAAAAACAUGGUCUUGUAGGGCUAGGUCUAACCCAGAAUUUAUAGAAAGAUUAAAAGAUUCCCUAGGUGUAGCUAAAAGUUCAUUAUCUUCUUGAUUAAAAGAUAGGACCUUGGCUAUAGAAAAGGGUUGGUUUUGACCUAUUGCAAUCAACUCCGGACACAGAUCAUAAUUAGGGGCAAAGAAAGGACUUGUUGACUCCCAUGGUCUAUGGCUGGUCUCGAAGGUGCCAAAAAUUCAAUAAUACGUGUGGAAUUUGAGUUAUCCAUAAAGAUGGAAAAAAUAAAAAGAUAAAAGAAUAAAAGUAUAAAAGUAUAAUACAAGAUAAUAGCAAGACUCAAAGUUAUCUCAGCAAACCAUCUUUCUCCCUGGCAAUGGCGCUAGAAAUGCUUGUUGAAAUUUGUUAAUGCCAUCAGGAAACGAUCCACAAGCGCACGGAUAUCGGUGAGCACUUCACCCGAGAGGUUAUCUAGAGUAUCGUAUUUAUAUUUUUACCACUGGGAGAAAGCGUGCAUCUGACUAACCAAAUCUAUUACUACUACCCUUUAGGCUACAAACAAUGUGAUUCGAUGUGAGCGAUGUAUAGAGAAGACUACAACCGCUCUCUCGUUCAAAACUUGGUAAGAAUGAUCUACUGUUCUAUUGGGGAGGCUUACGGAAUCUAGACACCACAAAGGAUGUUCAACCCACACCUAUAAACCCUAUCGAUCCUGCUAACAGGAUGUGGGCUACAAUGGUAGCUUGGAAAUGUCACGUUCCUCACUACUACCACGGUCCGACUAGACAGGGGAUAUCUAUGAGUACCCUAGCCCAAACACCACGUUUACGCUAGUAAUGAUUACUCUGAGAUUAAAGUAAACUCAUAAAUCAAAGAACAAUAAGAGCAAAGAACUUACUAGAAUUUAGAAGUCGAAAUACUGAAGAAUCCUAGGAGCAAGCCUCGGGUUAAGGGACUUGAUCCCGCAGGUACAAACUCGGAGUAGACGCCGACAGGCCAGGCUUCCUCCGAUCUACACCUCCACUCUAUCUCUCUCAAUCUAGAAGAACUAAUUCUACUCUCACAUUGGAUGCUAAGCCCUAUGAGGUUGGAACCCUAGAGGGACCUCUCUCUCUAAAUCCUCUCUAGAAAAUAUGCUAAUGAAUAAUGGGAUUGCCCCCUUCUAGGGGCCAGGGGGCCUGGUUAUAUAGUCCCCUCAAGUGAACGUGGGCUGUCGGAUCAAACCGACAUUAAUCGCACGGUUUUCCUUAAUCCUUUAGGUCGGUGGAGCAUAAUCCGUGAGACGGGACCUGAUUGGUCUCUGUAGCAGGGCGGGCGCCCAAGGGGGGAGGGCGGGCGCCCUGCCCCCGGGCCCGCUCGGCCUCCCGUUCGUUCCUGUGGCUUCUGGACACUUCUAGAUGAUAGAAAAUUACGCGGUACGUUAAUAUCUCUAUGUAAACCCGACAUGUGGGCCUUUCUUCCAUAUUUCCUGAUAACCCCCUGCAGAAAUAGACAAACACCAAAAUUUGUGGAAUUUUCUCAGAUAAAACCCUAAGUCUAGGUGUUGGUUGCAUUUGGAUCCUUUUCUUUAUUUACUUGAUGAUUAUAUUUGGUACUUAAGGACCGUCAACAAAGGUGACAGUUUUAUUGAGUCCUAUGUAGUCCACUCCCAAAUCUAGGCCUAGUAGAACCCGGUUACCUGGGGAAGGAUUGCUAUGUUCUUGAAUUCUCUAAAGCAAUAUUCCUUGUGUUUAGAUGGAAGAUUGAUUUUUGCUAUAAAUGAUAAACAGUAGAAUAGAAGCCAUGAGACUUAGAAGAUACGAUGUAAACCUAGGAAUUAAAAUCUCUAACCCUGUCACUUUAUUCUACCCUACUUGAUCCUAUGAGUCAUCUCUAAUUGUGGGUUCCCUAUCAUUACCUUAUUAUCAUUAUUAUUAUCACCAUUAUCUGCCUUAACCCUGUUUAGAUAGAAGUGGCUAGUUAAUUUGAAUCUAGAGUAUGUUUUUGUAAUUCUUUUAGCCAUAUCAAUUUUCUCCUCUAGAUCCCUUCUAGAAGCUCCCAGUGGUAAAAUUAUAAAUAACGAUACGUGGAACUUUCCUAGGUGAAAUGCUACAACGCGAGUAUUUUAUCUAUGCGCUUGCGGAUAAACUUCGUUUCAUAUUUUAUAAGUGCCAUGAUUAUAAGUAUAACCACAUUUCUUAUGUCAUGUUCGGGAUGACAACCUAGCGAGUGUGACAUAAGAGAUGCCAACAAGCAUUUCUAGCGCUGUUGCUGGGAGCUUCUAUUAUGGAAUCACGGUUCACACUAUCACCGCGCACCGCUGUACAUGGUUGUCGUCCCUGAUCAUUCAUCGUCGAUGAGUUACCUCCACCAGAUGCACUAGUUGCACUCGGAUCUGCUUCUUCACCGUGAUACUUCUAGACGGUGUAAUCCUUAACGAAGCCAUGCUGGAUCAAGUCAGACUCCACCAUGUCAUCUUCCUUGAGAAGGUUGUUCUUGCAGCUAUUGCAUGGACAAAUGAUGCGCUCUUGAUCCAAAUGCACAUGGUGCUUUUUUGCAGCGGCAGCAAACUUUCUCACAUGUCCUAGAAAAGUCAAAUUGUUGUUGACCCUUGGUAUCUUAUACAUCCACUCUUCCCUAUCCAUAAUGACCAUGACCACCUUGUACACACAAAGGGAGAAAAAUAAAUAAAGCCAUAUGAAAACAUGUGAGUAGCCCUAGAUCUAGUUUUCUCUCUCCUCCAUUUGGAUCUAGAUCUAGAUCUAGCUAAAAACCACCUAAAUAAUGCAAAAGAGAGAAAAUGAGAGUUAGAGAGUAAGAAAUCCACCUCUUGCGGUGCCCCCCUUCACUAAAUCAAAGGGCAAAACGUUCUCCGCUCUAAGACAUCAAAUAUUAGGGUUUUGAGGUCAAAACCCUAAUAAAUGGAGAAGGAGCAACGGGGAAGAAGAAGGGGGCUGCUGCUGCUUUUAUAGGCACAAGCUUAACCAUGGUGGACACAUUAAAGAAACCACCACGGUUAAUCACUUAUUAACCGCGGCGGUUGCUGUUAGAGCAAUCGCCAUGGUUAAAACUUAACCAAGACGAUUGCCUUAAAGCAACUACCAUGGUUAAAUAGAUUAACCAUGAUGGUCACUAUAACACAACCGCCACGGUUAAUAGGAGAUUAACCAUGGUGGUGGUGUUAUAUUGACUGCCAUGGUUAACGAAUUAUCCAAGGCGGUUGUCGGGCCGGUAGCCUAUCCUAGAUUAACCGAGGCAGGCCACCAGCCCACCCGCCUCUGUGGCCCAAAACAAAAUGUCUCCCAAAAGAUUUUGUGUAGUAGUGAAAUAUUUAUAUGGUUAUCAGAAGAAUACAUCAAAUAUAUAGUUAUAGAUAAAAAUCUUAACCAAGUACUCCUAUCUUUGUUUAUAUUUUAUACAGGGUAAUUCAGUUUAAGUUGUGAUUGAUCAACAUUCAAUUAAAAUCAACUCUACCUAGAAGAUCAACACAAGUGGUAAAGACAAUGGUUGGCAAGACUUUGAAGGAGUUCUCUGCUCCAAACAUUGGGAACAUCCAUGUUGGGCCUAUACUCUAGCUGGAUAACCUAGAGUUUACACUCUAGCCAAGCCUCAUCAACCUAGUCUGAGCUACUACAUUUAGUGGAAAUGCACAAGAAGAUGCUACUGCUCACCUCAAAAAUUUUCAAGAGAUUGGAAGCACCAUCGUCAUCAAGAACAUUGCCCAAGACAUCGUACUUCUUUGGUUAUUCCAACUUUCUUUAGAGGGAAAAGUGAAGCAGUGGUUCUAUGAUCUCAAGGAAGAUAUCAAUACAUGGGACAAGUGUGUAGAAGCCUUUCUAUCAAAGUUUUUCCCUAUAGGAAAAACAAAUGUCCUAAGCGGAAAAAUCUACACCUUUCAGCAGCAGAAAGAAGAAACCAUUGCAAAGGCAUGGGAACGUUUCUAGGAAUACAUCCUGGAAUGUCCACACCACAAAAUGAAGGACUGGUUGCUCAUACAAGGAUUCUAUCAUGGACUUAUUCAGAAAUCUCAUGAGCAAUUAGAUGCAGCAACUAGAGGAUCAUUUAUGUCACUUACACUUGGAAAAGUUAAAAUUAUUUUAGAGAAGAUAGCCAAGAAUCAGAAGAUGGAAUAAGUUCUAGAAGAAGUUUGUGCAUUAUCAACAAAGAUGAACAUGCUGUUGGAUUGGCUUGAACAAAGGGAUAAUUAUAAAAGAGAUCGUCAAGCUAUCCAGGAUGCAUAUGAUGCUUGGAAUAGAUAUAGAAAAUAUCAAGGGAUUGAAUUCUUAGACAACCAAGAAAAUGCAAGCAUCAUGAACAACACUUCCACAUCAACAAAGCAAGGAUGGAAUCAACUGAAGACAUCCACCCAUCAAGAUAAGUAUUUAGGCAGUUACAAUUCUUCUAAUUUCAAGCAAUUACCCUUGAGAGGUUUAAUCUUAGAACAUGCUAGAAUUAAUGAUAACAUUAUUAAAAGGCUUGCUUCUAAUGAUAAAAUGUUAGAGGAUAUUAAUGCUAAAUUAGAUGAGCUUUCUUCUGCUAUAAAAGAUCAACUCAAUCAUAAUAAACAGAUAGAAUCUAAGUUGUCACAACUAGCCGCUGCUUUGCCUUUUACCACUAACCCUAAUCAGGUACAAUCCAUAACCCUAAUCAGGUACAAUCCAUAACCACAAUAGGUGGUAGAUCUACUCACGAUCCUCCUUAUCUGAAGGGUGUAGCGAGAAGACAGGCAGCACCAGUAACUCCAGCAGUAAUAGCAGAGAAGGAUGAUGAAGCUAAAGAAUUAGAGCCACCAAUACCAGAAAUGACACAAGAUUUUCAUGAAUCCAAUAUUUUACUAUUCCUACAUAGAAAGUGGAAGGCUAAAACAGAUGAGCAGUUUAGUAAGUUUGUUGAAGUAAUUCAAAAAUUAUAUAUCAAUGCAAUGUCCCUCUGUUAGAUGCUAUUCAAGUACCCACAUAUGCAAGAUAUAUAAGUGACAUCCUCAACAAAAAAUGACCAUUGCCCACCAUAGAAGUAAUCAAAAUAACAGAAGAGUGUAGUGUGGCCAUCCUCAACAUGACACUAGAAAAGAAAUAAUAUCCAGGAUGCCCCACUAUUGAAUAUUCAAUUGGAGAUCAAUAUUUCAACAACGCAUUGUGUGACCUCAGAGCAAGGGUCAGUGUGAUGCCUAAGGCAGUCUUCGCCAAACUCCAACAUACAAAGAUCACCCCAAUAUUAAUGUGUCUACAACUAGCCGAUCAAUCUCUUUGCUAUCCAAUAGGAAUUGUCGAGGAUACUCCAGUCAAUAUUAGAGGAUUCUUCAUACCAGUAAACUUUGUCAUUUUGGAAAUCCAUCUAGACUCGAAGGUGUCACUCAUUCUUGAGGGACCUUUUUUGAGCACUGUGAAUGCCCACAUUAGCGCCAGCAUUGGUGAAGUCAAGUUCAACUUUAAUGGACGAGAAGAACGUUUUCCAUUCAGAUCAAGGCCUAAGUUGACCUAAAGGCGGAGAUGAUAAGUGAAGAAGGACAUGAGAAAACAUUAGGGAGAUCAUCCUUUGGAUAGAAUGACACCAGUUGACGGUAUAUAACUCCUAAUUUUAACCGUCAACUAUACAUGAAAAUGGAUCUUUUAGCAAACACCUAGUAGAUAUAGGGUUAUCACUAAUAUAAUUCCAUGAGUUUUGGUGAAUGUCUAUUUCUGUAGGGUGUCAGCUAAAAAUAAACAAAGAUGGUUCACAUGUUAGGUUUACAUAGAUAGAAUACCAUGAACAUCUACUUUUUUGUAAUCUAGAAGGUUCCAGAAGGCUCCAGACCAAACCAAAGCCCGAACUAGCUCGGGAGCCGGGCGGCCACCCAAGGUGGGAGCCCGCUCACUUCAACCAAUCAGGGUGAACCUUGCGGAUCUUGCCUCCACCGACUUUGAGGAGUAAUCUUGAGCGCACGUUUAAGUCGGUUUGAUCCAAGGGCUAUGGUUCUUCCUAGGAGGUGGAAAGAUUAGUACCACAUCGCUAGUUCAAGGUAGAGGAGGGGUCAGAUGCCCCCUAUAAAUAAGACCCUGACCCCUCUAGGGAGUAGCUAAUUCUGAAGCCUUAAUUCAUAUUUUCCAGAGAGAAUUAGUCAGAGAGGGGUCCCUCGAAUGGAUCUGUCUCUUUAGGGUUUUAGCUGCAAGAGAGAUUGAGAGAUAGAAGUGGAGGAAGCUCGGCCUAUCGGUGUCUUCUUCCUUGUUUAUGUGGGAUCAUGUCUCCUAACCCGAGGCUUGGUUCUAGAAUCAUUCGGUGAUUCAACUUCUAAUACUAGUAAGUUAUUGUUCUUAUUGUUAUUUGGUUUAUGGGUUUGCUUUAUUCGGUUUGCAUUGGGAAUAGAAUAACUGUUUGUAGCGUAAGCAUGGUGUUUGGGCUAGAAACACUCGUAGAUACUCCCUAUCUGGCCGGAUUUGUGGUAGCUUUGGGGGGUAGUGACAAUCCUCUCGGGUCUCUAUUAUCCACGUCCCAUUAGGAGGUAAGGUAGGGUAUAUGGUACUAGGGUUAAGCACUCUUUGAGGUGUCUCUUUUCUCUAGUUACUCCCCUUAGAACAAUAUCUACACACCAUAGGUUAGAAGAAGACUGAUGAAGGAGUUCUCUCUAUAUCGCUCAUAUCUCACUAUCCUGUCUUGCAAGCCCAGGGGUUAAGUAUAGAUUUAGGUUAGUCCGAUGCACUCUUUCUCCUAGUGGUAAAAAUAUAAAUAAUGGUACUCUAGAAUAUCUCCCAGGACAAGUGCUCACCGAUAUCCAUGCGCUUGCGAAUUUCUCUAUGUGCAUAACUAAUAUCAACAAGCAUUUUUGGCACUGUUGCCGGGGAGAAAGAUGGUCUGCUGAGAUAACUUUAAAUCAUGCUUAACCAUGUAUUAUACUUUUAUCUUUUUCAUUUAUCUCUUCUUUUCUUUUUCCUUUUCUUUUCUAUCCUUAUGGAUAACCCAAAUUCCAUGCCUAUCUAUCAAUUUCUUGCACCCGUGAGCACGAGCUUAGAGCCACUAGAGCUUAGAGCUAUGAGAUAUGUGUUGGUAUUUCUUAGCAUCACCUUAAUACUAGGUUGUCAUCACUAGUAGCGACACUAGAAACACAAGGGGGAUGGUAUUGGAUAACUGAACUCUUGAAAUAAUGAUAUAUACUAUAGAAGGUAAUCCGCAAGCGCACAGAUCAAAUACCAUUGUAGCACUUCACCAGGAGUAUUCCAGAUAUCGUAUUUAUAUUUUAGCUUAGGAAGGAGCUAAGGAGUAGGCCCAGAGAUGGAUUUGUGAAAUAUGAUUACUAACGAUGAAACCAAUCACACAGUCACUUGCUAAGGCAGGGGUAAGCCAAUAAUAAUAAUGAUAUGUAUGAUAAAACAAUGAUAAACCAGAGAUUAGAGAUAGACUACUCAUCAUAUGGGUACGAAAACAAGUGAUUAGUCAAGAGAUUGAACUCCUAUGUAGCAACUAAGUUACUAAGUCUUUUCAUUUACUCUAGCAUAUAUACAAUCAUGUAUAGCAUAAUGACUCUAAAUUCAUGCAUAAGGAACAUUAGCAAGGAAGAUCAAGAAUAGAGCAAGACAAUCCUUGUAAUAUAGUUCUAUUAUCGAUAUUGAUGGGGUGUGGACUAUAGAAGACUCAACAGUAAAGUCACAACCAUGAUCUACCACAAGUCCCAGCCAAUAGGAUGCAUUUGCAGGUAAAUGCCAUCUAAGCACUACGCUUAAACUUAGUCUAUGCACUCAUUAUCAAUCAUGACUAUAUCAAAUAUAUAACUAGAGAAAACUAUAAACAUAAUAAAUAGCAAAUAAUCAAUUAGAAUAAAGUAUUAGAGAAAGAUGCAAGAUAAUACCCGACUCUUGAGACGAACGAUCUAGAAUCCUGAGUGAAGUGCCCGAACUCUUCUUAAAUCUACUUGCUAAUCCUAUAUAGAAUGGAGGAAUUGGAGUAUCUAGUCUAAUUCUCUAGCGGAGGAGGCGGCUAGGGCUUCUUCUUCUUCUUCUAAUCUUCCCUUCUCUCCUUCUCUCUUUCUCUUGAAACGCUAGGGUCUACACCUCCUUAUAUGAGGAGGUGGGAUGAACCAUGACCCUUGGAUCAAACCGACUUAAUGGACGAAGAUCCUUCCUCCUCAAAGGCGGUUAGUGCAUAAUCCGUGAGACUACUCCUGAUUGGUCAAGGGGAGGGGGCGGCUUCCUGCUUGGGCGCCCUGCCUCUGGCUCAUCUCGUCUUCCGCUUUUUUCUAGUAGCUUCCUGAUCCUUCUAGACCUUUCUUUUGUAUACGUGGCAUAGAUAUCUCAUUUCUCUAUAUGUAAUCAUGACAUGUGGGCCUCCAAAGGUCAUUUCUAGAUAACCUCCUGUAGAAAUAGACAUUCACCAAAACUCGUGGAAAUCUGUCAGAUAAAACCCUAUACUUCUAUUGGUGAUUGUUUUGUGCCCUUUUUCCUUCUCCUUGUUGAUAUAAAUGUGGUCCUUAUCUACCGUCAAUAAGCUCCCCCAAGCUUACCUUUUGCAUGUCCUCGAGCAAAUAGAUAGACUAAAGCUAGAUUAGGAGUUGCUACAAUGUUUUAAUUCCUUCAAAGCACACAUGCAUUCAACGAAAAAUACUCCCUCAUACUAAAGUAGACAGUUCUAACUUUCAGACUUGCUCAUGUUACCUACAACCAUGUGAAAGGUCCUUGUUUGGUUUUGGUAAUUGAGUGACAACUUAGGUGGACUAAUAGUGUUUAUGUAAGAUACACAGGAGAUUAGACCACAGGUGAUGAUGUGAUGAUGGACGAGCUCAUUGCACAUGAGACAUGACAUGGAGUCAUGUGACCAAGGUGGAGAAGAUCAAGAUGAGGCUUGGCUCAAUGGACCAGUUGCAAGAGUGAAGGGCAAGUCGGAGGCUUUGAAGUGAGGGACCGCGUGUGACGGUGAAACUUCAGCAAAACUUGGAGCCGAUGUACCGAGGCAACGGUGAAUAGCAAGUGAGGUCAAGAUUGAUGAACCAAUACGGUCAUGUGAUGAUAUGAAGUGGAUCAUAUCAUUUGGUGAAUGGUUGGUGCAUGCAUUGCAUCAACAUUGGAGGAGAUGAAAUCGAAAGCGCAAGGCAAAGGUAUAACCUAGGGGCAUUUCCAUUUCACCGGUCAUAGGUGUGUAGAGAAGUUUAUGGCCAGAUUUAGGAUAGAUGGCCGUACUAUCAUGAGAGGCAAACUUGUUUGCAUAUCGGUCAUCUAGUGCCACUUGAGCGAUCUAACUUUGCAUACGUGUUAGGAUCGAGUGGCAUGGCAAGUUAAGAGGCUAAUUCCUUUGGGAAAAUGUUUAUGAAAAUGCUACACUUACACUUGGUAGUGUACACUUGGUGGUGUUGGCACAUUUGCAAAGGAGAAGGUGUUGGAGUUGAUUUUGUUCAACUUGGAGAAAAGAGAGAAGUCUUUCGGUGUUCUCCAGAUAUUAGGAUGGCUUUUAGUUUGGAAUACUACUUUGAUCCAUUUUGAUUUGGAUUGAGUAUUCAUUUAGAUUGGAUAGCACUCUAAGUAAGCUUUCCAAAAUGUCCAAGAUCAUCGAAUUCGGAGUUCGGAGCUAGAAGUUAGCAACCUAACAAGUUAAACUACAUGCACAGGACGCUGCGAGUCCGGUGCGCACAGGACGAGUCCGGUGUGCACAGGACGCUGUGAGUCCAGUGCUGCUGUAAGUUUGCGUUGCUCUCCACGUACGAGUCCUGUGCACACAGGACGCUGUGAGUCCGGUGCUGCUUCAAGUUUGCGUUGCUCUCUUCGUACGAGUCUGGUGCUCCUGCGAGUUUCCGUUGCUCUCUACGUAUGCGUCCGGUACGCAUAGAACACGUCCGGUGUGAAGCAUCAGAGCGUCCGGUGCUACUAUUCCAAGCGUGUGCGCGUGUUAGCCGUUGGCAGCAACGGUCGAGUUCAAACGGCUAGUGACACGUGGCUGCUUUUUGAGCACCAGACGCACUGUUCCAGCGUCCGGUGACUCCCUGCAUUGAGUCCGGUGCCACGACUUUUGCCCAGUGAAGGGGCAACGGCUAGUUUAGCCCUUGGGGCUAUAAAUAGAAGUGGUGGCCGGUCUUGGCAAGUGCUGAGCACCCUUGGGACUUAGUGUCCAUACUUGGGCAGUGCUAGGAAAGCCUCUAACUCACUUGUGCUUGCAAGAGUGCGAGUCAAUAGCGAGUGAGUGAUUCUAGUGCGUUGCAUUGAGAGAUUUCAUCGAGUGGCACUAAGUGUUUGUGUUGCAAGCCAGUGGUGCUUGUUACUCUUGGAGGUUGCCACCUCCUAGAUGGCCUGGUGGCUUGUGACUCCGUCAAAGCACGCAAGGAGAUUGUGCAGUGCUACGGAGAAGAGAUUGUAAGGGGUACGGUGUUCACCCCGUGGGGAUCGCGAAGAGCAACUCUAGUUGAACGAGACGUGAAGAGCGACAAGUGGUCCGGCCGGGUCAAGUGCUAGAGCUUGUGGUAAGCACUCCACGUGGGAGAGUGUGUCUUGCGGGUCACCACUAGCAAGAGGACCAGCGGCAACCUUGGAGCUUGUCUCAACGGGGACGUAGCUUGGUGGCAACCAAGUGAACCUCGGGAGAACAUCAUCGUGUCAACAUUGUUCUUCUCGUUGGUUUGCAAGUCCCUAACCUAAGCUUGUAUUUACAUUCAUAUACUUGUGCUUGAGUAGUUGCUCUUGUAAUUAGUUAGCUUGUGUAGCUUGCUUGUCCCCAUCUUGCUUGUGUAGGUAGAAGUAGUUUCCCUUGCGUAACUAAUAUGGUUUGUGUAACCUUGUUAGUCACAUUGCAUAGUUUGUGUAGCUAUGUAUCUUGUGCUCUUUAAUUUGGCAUUGGUUGCCUUGCUAUUGAGCGUUGCUAGUGAGCUUAGGAGCUUUGUGCUUUUGUUUACUAGUUGUGUAGGAGCUCCCCCGUCUUGCAAAGUACUAGUGGCAUAGGUUUGUGUGACCUUGCUCCUAGAAUUGGUUAGGUGAGCUCUUGCUAAGGUAGCACCUUGCUUGCUUGUUUAGGAUCUUUUCAAGGAGCUAGAGAACUUAGUUAGAGGGGUGUAGUCUUGCCUAGACCGAUAGUUUUAAUUCCGCAUUUAUUUCGGUUAGCCGGUGUAAUAAAUUUUAGAAAGGACUAUUCACCCCCCUCUAGUCCGCCAUCUCGACCCUUCAAUUGGUAUCGGAGCGAGGUCUCUCAUUUGUGGUCUUCACCGACCAGAGAGGAUGGCGACUUAUGGGCUAGAUGUUGAGUGUCCACAUAUUUUUGAUGGCACACACUUUGCACAGUGGAGGAAUUGGAUGACAUGCAAUUUUAAGUUUAUUUCUCCUCAAAUGUGGUGGAUGGUAGAUGUAGGCUUUUCUCAUGUGUUAGAUGAAGAGAAUCUAACUCAAGCACAAGAGAAAUGCCUACAUCUCGACUACCAAGCUACUAACAUCUUCUAUUCAUCCAUGAAAGAUAACAUAUUUGGUGAGAUGAUGGAUAUGAAGUCCGCUCAUGAGAUUUGGAGUUAUCUCAAUGAGAAAUAUGGGGUGAUGACCAAAGAAGAUGAUGUGCCAAAGGUGGAUGCACAUGAGGAUGUUGAGCAUGACCACAACAUGAUGGUUGUGGAGGAUUGCUCCACCUCAUGGUCAAGUGAGGAUGAAGAUGAUGGCUAUGAGAGUGAUGCUUCUACAAGUUCAUCCACUUCAUCACAUUCCUCCAUGUCUCACGGUGACGGCAAGGUAUCUAUUGGAGGUGUGAUUGUUGAUUGUGAUGAUCCAAAUUUUGAGCUUGUAUGUAGACUCACCAAAGCUUUAAGAAAUGAGAUGGCUGAAACAAGUAAAUUGUAAAAUGAAAACUCAUUUCUAAAGACCACAUGUGAACAACGAAAGCAUCUACUUUAUGUUACUACUUGUUCACAUGAGGAGCUAAAAUUGGUUCAUGAGGAACUUUGUGUUACUCAUGAUAACUUGGUAAAAGAUCAUGCAUUUCUCACUAAGAAGAUUUCUAAUGAAGAAAUUAAAACUAGUGAGAGCUCAUCACUUGGGUCAAAUGAUCAAUCACAUAUUGUUACUAACCCUUGUGAUGUAGGGAAGAAGCAUGUAUCCACCUCUUGUGAUGAUUUAUUAUCUAUGCCAUGUUCUUCACAUAUAGAUGCUUGUUCUACUUCUAUGUCUUGUGAGACUAACCUUUUGAAGGAGAACAAUAAGCUCAAUGAACAAGUGAAGAAUUUUAGCAACAAGCUAGAGAGGUGCUAUAAUUCAAAAGUCACCUUUGAGAAUAUAUUGAAGACUCAAAGAAUCUAUGGUGACAAGUGUAGCCUUGGCUUCAAGGAGAAGAUGACAAAGGUCAAAGAAAGCAAGAAAAUAGAAAGCUUUCUCAUUUCAUGUGCUAUCGGUGCCAUGAAAUGGGACAUCUUGCUAAUGGUUGUCCAAACAAAGAGAAGCUCAAGAAGAUGAAAGAAGAAGAGAGGCUCAAGCAUGUCAAGUGCUUCAAGUGCCGCACUUGGGGUCAUCUUACCUCAAUGUGCCCAACCAAGCAAUUGGUGAAGCAACAAGAAGAGCCUCAACCUAGGCCACAAGUUGAGCAAGAAAAGAAGCCCCAAGUUCAAGUCAAGAUCAACCAUCAUUGUGAUGACUUGAUUAUGAAGAACAAGAAGACAAGAAGGGGUGGAAGAGAAAGGCAUCCAAUGAAAAUCCAAGAUGCCAAGAUAAUGAGCAAGAAUUAAGACAAGAAGAAAGCUUAUGCUCACAUCAAGUGCUUUGAGUGCAAGGAUGAUGGACACUUUGCCUCUAGGUGUCCUACCAAGCUUGAGAAGAAGGCUCAAGCAACUCUCAAGAGGCAAGGCAAUGAGAAGCAACACAUGAGUAAGGAAGAAAAGGCUCAAUCAAAGAGAAGUUGCUACUUAUGCCGGGAAAGGGGACAAUGGCUCAUUCAUGUCCCCUAGGUAAUAAUUCUAAGCCCAUUUCAUUAGAUGAUAAUACUAUGCUUAGAAAGGAUGGUAAUGGUACCUCUAUGGUUGCUAUUGCAAAACAUCCCGCUACUCAUAUUAAGGCAUCGCCUAAGUAUGUUGCACCUAACUUGAGAGGAACCAAACUAGUUUGGGUACCAUCGAAGAGUGGAUGAAUGUGUGUAGGUACCACGAGCAUUGGAGGCUUGAUUCAAUUGAUCUUAUAUUAUUCAUCAUAUGAUUGAGUCAAGAAUUGAAGCUUAGUGCUUAUCUCAUCCCAAUGCCAUUACAAGAUAGUGAAGUCCAAAUGUGCUACAACAUACAAGUGUCACAUUCAAGUUGUGGUGAUUUAUUAGAUUAUUUGAUGGCUUGCAAAUACAUGAGUUGAACCUUGUAAAUUGGUUGAUCAUGAGCUAACCAAGGUAUAUCUUUGUUGAUCACAUUCAUUUGGGUGCAUAUGAGUUGAUUGAAUUGAAUAUAUAUGCAAUGUUGCUUGCUAUAAGAUGAUUGAAUGGAUAAAAUGAUUACUAAUCAAGUUUGGAUUGAUUUGAGUUUGAUAAGUUCAUGAGGUAACUUUUAGUAAGUGGAUUGAAUUGGUAUAUGUCUUGUGAAAAUAUUCAAACAAGUCUUUUUCAAGUUUGAUUUAAAUUGAAGAAGUAUAGCUCAAUUUCUUGAAAUCUGUCCAACAUUGAGAAUCUGAGCUAGCUGGGAUCAAGUCUGCAUUUGAGUGAUAAAAUCUUAUUGGAAUGGCUUGAAAUUUGGUGUGCAUGCUGUAUACUUAUGAUAGAAAGUGAGGUAGAAAUUUCAUGGAAAUUGUAUAAAUAAUACUCUAGUUUUGGAGUGGAUCUUGUCAGCAAUAGUGCAGCAGUUUUCAGCAUGUAGCAGUGGUGGAAGAAUUGAAAUCUGGUAGCAAUCUAUAAGUGAAAUGAAGCUCAAAUUUUUACAGCUGCUAGAUAACUUAGUAAAGCACAUCUCCACCAAAUUUCGUAGUAUUUGGAUUUGUACAGUGUGAGAUAUGAGUUAUUCUUUGAAAGGUACAGAAUCUGCCAGAAAAGUGACAGUUAUUUGAUUGAUUUAGAGUCACUUUGAUUGAAAGGUCCUCAAGUUGGAAACAUGAUUAUAAGUAUUUGAGGCACCUAAGUUGGUUUUGAAUUGAUCUUAGUAAGACAAGUGUUGAGUACAAGACUAUUUAGCGAAAUGUACUUGGUAUACACAUUUUAGUACUCAAAUUGAACAUCAAGAUCAAACUCAAGAUGAAGAUGAAGUUUAAGUUCUAGUGACUAUUGGAGAUCAUUUGGUAGAAAGAAAAGGACUUAACAAGUAGAUAGAAAAGGACUUAAAGAAGGAUUCAUGGUUACUCAUCAUAUUAAGUCCAUCACUUGAAUCAAUCAAUCAAAGACAAUUCAAGUGAGUGUCAAGAAUGGUUCUUUGGAGAGAGGUCACAUCUCCCUAUGCGAGGGGCGUGCCGCCCGAGGAGUGGGUCAACCAAGUGUGGUGCUUGGAAGGCUAACAUGGAAGUGGUGAUCUAAAGGACAUUUGAGAUGCUUAGUUGAAGCAAUCAAAAGGAUUGAUCAAGAGAGCAAGCAACACCCAAAAGAGAGCUAGUCAUGCUAUUUCAAUUGGUAUUAUUAAUUCUCUCAUGCAAGCAAUGAUCAAGAAAAGAUGAAGCAAGCCAACCACAACAAAAGAUAGUGCACUUGAUCAUAAGUGGUUCUCUAUUCAUAUGGGUGAAGAUUUGAUCUAUCAAUUGGUAUCUAUGAUUGGUCUUCACCAAGCUUAUAAUUGGACUUCACAUUGCUAUUUGGAGCUAAAUUGGAAUCUUAUUGACUAUCCUCUACUCCAUGAUAGCAAAGGUAUCAUUGUAAUGUGCAUGAUCAUUUCAUCCCUUACUAGUAUGCGGUUAGUGCAUAUAGUACAUGCUUAAUAGGAUCAUGCAUGACAAAUGAAAAGUUUUCAAUUCAUAGCCUACCACUAUUGCUUGAAUGAUUAGUUGAUCUAGUGGUAUGUAUAUGAGUUUGUUCAUGAGCUAGUGAACCCAAGUACUUGAUCUAUUUUGGAUUGUUAACAAGUGACAAGUACAACAUUGGCAAGAUAACCCUUAAUGUGAGGUGUGAAAAAGCUUGUCAUUGGUUCAAACCGGACUUGGAAGCUUAGGCAAAUCAACAUAGUUCAAGUCAACAAUUAGAAGCUCAUGAUGAUAAGAGUACAAGAACAAGACAACAAUGAAAAUGGAUAUCUAAACUCAAAUGUUUCUUCAAGUGAUAUCCUACAAUUGGUACUCAUGAUGAUGACAGCAAAUGUUCAAGAUAGCAAACAUGUGGUUCCAUACUAAAAGACCUUAAUUAGUAGAAGAAUCCCAUAUGGUAUCGGACAAGAUAUUUCACGUGAUAUCACAUUUAUACAUAUGGUAUCUAUCAUACAAGAAGGUGGUUCCACAAGUGAUCCUCAACUUUAAGUGAUCAUCAAGCAAAGAAAAUUCCCUCACCAACAAGAUUGACAAGUGAAUGACCCAUGCUAUGACAUAGGGGGAGUGCCCCACCAAAUGGUGUCAAGGUCAAAGAUCCUAUGUGGUAUAUCAAGAGCAAUUAAUAUAAUGUCAUUCCAACACAUAUGGUGAUGUCCAUCAAAAAUGCAAGAUUCAAGCCUCAACCAUCUAUCCCAAUGUAAUCCUUUGUCACAGUGAGAUUCACACUUUUUCAAUUGGUAUCAAGAGAUUUAAUUGGUAUCACAUACCUUUUAUGGAAAUUGAUGACAAAGGGGGAGAAAUUGGUACAAAGAUAUGAAAUAUGGGAAGUUGGUUUCAACAUGGACAUGGACCAAGAGGGAGCAACAUUGAAGAAAAAGAUGGAUCAAAAUUCUUGAACAUGAGAAGCACACAAGUAGGGGAAGCAAGCUCACGAACAUUGAUUGUUUGCAUUUGAUUUGUGCAUAUUCAUGUGCUUGCUUACAUUGCAUAAGUUUCUAAAUACAAUAUGCAUGCUUGUGUGGUGUAUGCUAGUUAUAGAACUUGAUUGAUGAUAUGAUAACUAGCAUGCAUAGGUUGGUAGCUAGACUUGUGUUCUUCAAGUAAAGACUAGACCCUUGCUUAUAAUGUUGAUCCCACGGGGUUUCUAGUGUUUUUGUUGUCUAGCUACUCAUGGUGCUAAGGAUGGUGUACAUUGAAUGCUUGAAAUGAUAUCAAAUUUGGUAUCAAGCUACAAAGGUUUAUUCUAUACACCUUAGCACUUAGUUGGGUUUUAUGGUGCUUAUCCAAAUCUUGACAUAGAGCUUAAAUGUUGGAUAAGUAGCAUAAAAUCCGAAUCAAGUUAGCAAUUUACACUUGUGUAAAGUGGUAGCUUGAAAAAGCUUUUUUUCCAUAUCUUUGUAGAGUUGUCAUCAAUUACCAAAAAGGGGGAGAUUGAAAGGUCCUUGUUUAGUUUUGGUAAUUGAGUGACAACUUAGGUGGACUAAUAGUGUUUAUGUAGGAUACACAGGAGAUUAGUCCACAGGUUAUGAUGUGAUGAUGGACGAGCUCAUUGCACAUGAGACAUGACAUGGAGUCAUGUGACCAAGGUGGAGAAGAUCAAGAUGAGGCUUGGCUCGAUGGACCGGUUGCAAGAGUGAAGGGCAAGUCGGAGGCUUUGAAGCUAGGGACCGUGUGUGACGGUGAAGCUUGAGCAAAACUUGGCGCCGAUGGACCGAGGCAACGGUGAAGAGCAAGUGAGGUCAAGAUCGAUGAUCCAAUACGAUCACGUGAUGAUAUGAAGUGGAUCAUAUCAUUUGGUGACUGGUUGGUGCAUGUGUUGCAUCAACAUUGGAGGAGAUGAAAUGGAAAGCGCAAGGCAAAGGUAUAACCUAGGGGCAUUUCCAUUUCACCGGUCAUAGGUGUGUAGAGAAGUUUAUGACCGGAUUUAGGAUAGAUGGCCGUACUAUCAAGAGGGGCAAACUUGUUUGCAUAUCGGUCAUCUAGUGCCACUUGAGCGAUCUAACUUUGCAUACGUGUUAGGAUCGAGUGGCGUGGCAAGUUGAGAGGCUAACUCCUUUGGGAAAAUGCUAACACACUUGCACUUGGUGGUGUACAGUUUGUGGUAUUGGCACAUUUGCAAAGGAGAAGGUGUUGGAGUUGAUUUUGUUCAACUUGGAGAAGAGUGAGAAGUCUUUCGGUGUUCUCCAGACAUUAGGAUGGCUUUUAGUUUGGAAUACUGCUUUGAUCCAUUUUGAUUUGGAUUGAGUAUUCAUUUAGAUUGGAUAGCACUCUAAGUAAGCUUUCCAAAAUGUCCAAGAUCAUCGAAUUCAGAGUUCGGAGCUAAAAGUUAGCAACCUAACAAGUUAAACUGCAUGCACAGGACGCUGUGAGUCCAAUGCUGCUACAAGUUUGCGUUGCUCUCUGUGUACGAGUUCGUUGCGCACAGGAUGAGUCCGGUGUGCACAGGACGCUGUGAGCCCGGUGCUGCUUUAAGUUUGCGUUGCUCUCUGCGUAUGAGUCCGGUGCGCACAGGACGAGUCCGGUGUGCACAAGAUGCUAUGAGUCCAGUGCUCCUACAAGUUUGCGUUGCUCUAUGCGUAUGCGUUCGGUGCGCAUAGGACGCGUCCGGUGUGAAGCAGCAGAGCGUCCGGUGCUACUGUUCCAGGCGCGCGUGCGUGUUAGCCGUUGGCAGCAACGGUCGAGUUCAAAUGGCUAGUGACAUGUGGCUAUUUUUGGAGCACCACACGCACUAUUCCAGCGUCCGGUGGCUCCCUGCAGUGAGUCCGGUGCCCACGACUUUUGCCCAGUGAAGGGGCAACAGCUAGUUUAGCCCUUGGGGCUAUAAAUAGAAGUGGUGGCCAGCCUUGGCAAGUGUUGAGCACCCUUGGGACUUAGUGUCCAUGCUUGGGGAGUGCUAGGAAUGCCUCUAACUCAAUUGUGAUUGCAAGAGUGUGAAUCAAUAGCGAGUGAGUGAUUCUAGUGCGUUGCAUUGAGAGAUUGCAUCGAGUGGCACUAGGUGUUUGUGUUGCAAGCCGGUGGUGCUUCUUACUCUUGGAGGUUGCCACCUCCUAGACGGCUUGGUGGCUUGUGACUCCGUCGAAGGACGCAAGGAGAUUGUGCGGUGCUCCGAAGAAGAGAUUGUGAGGGGUACGGUGCUCACCCCGUGGGGAUCGCGAAGAGCAACUCUAGUUGAGCGAGACGUGAAGAGCGACAAGUGGUCCGGCCGGGUCAAGUGCUAGAGCUUGUGGUAAGCACUCCACGUGGGAGAGUGUGACUUGCGGGUCACCACUAGCAAGAGGACCGGCGGCAACCUUGGAGCUUGUCUCAACAGGGACAUAGCUUGGUGGCAAUCAAGUGAACCUCGGGAGAAAAUCAUCAUGUCAACAUUGUUCUUCCUGUUGGUUUGCAAGUCCCUAACCCAAGCUUGUAUUUACAUUCAUAUACUUGUGCUUGAGUAGUUGCUCUUGUAAUUAGUUAGCUUGUGUAGCUUGCUAGUUUCCUUUUUGCUUGUGUAGCUAGAAGUAGUUUCCCUUGCGUAACUAAUUUGGUUUGUGUAACCUUGUUAGUCACAUUACUUAGUUUGUGUAGCUAAGUAUCUUGCGCUCUUUAAUUUGGCACUGGUUGCCUUGCUAUUGAGCAUUGCUAGUGAGCUUAGGAGCUUUGUGCUUUUGCUUACUAGUUGUGUAGGAGCUCCCCCGUCUUGCAAAGUACUAGUGGCAUAGUUUUGUGUGACCUUGCUCCUAGAAUUGGUUAGGUGAGCUUUUGCUAAGGUAGCAACUUGCUUGCUUGUUUAGGAUCUUUUCAAGGUGCUAGAGAACUUAGAUAGAGGGGUGUAGUCUUGGCUAGACUGAUAGUUUUAAUUCUGCAUUUGUUUCGGUUAGCUGGCGUAAUAAAUUUUAAAAAGGACUAUUCACCCCCACCUCUAGUCCGCCAUCUCGACCCUUCACCAUGGGGCUUUUUAUUUUCUCUUAGGUCUUGAGCAAUUGAAAGGUAGAACAAUCUAGCAAGCACUAUGUCUCAAGCUCUUCAUUUCACCUCUAUCUUGGAGUUUUUAUGAGUGUUUUCAAAAUAAACUCAGAGUUCCUUUAGUGACCUCUCAAUUCUCUAAAAUAUGUGGCAUUUGUGGAUGCUUACUUGAGGCAAUGAAUGUGUUAUGCCUACACUCUUCCUCACACCCUACAACUAAUAGGCUUAUGUGGAGUUCAUAGAUGGGGAAGUAGCUCAUACAUACUUGCAAUGCUUAUGUUGCUAAGUCAAACAAUGGAUCUAGAGGAGCUCAUCAAUCAAAUCAAGAUAUGCAUGUUUAUGGAUAUUUUUGUGGUUUUAUAUGGUGGAUGAUAUGGUGGUAGAAAGAAAAGGGUGGAAUCCUAAUUCUGCAAUGCUCUUUUGAAUAUAAUAUUUCUUCUUGUUGGAUGAAAGAUGGAGGGGAUCUAGGUUGCAUUUCUCUUAUUUCUCUCUUUCUCUUUUCUUUUUUUUCAUAUCUCUUUUUUAGAGAGCAACCUAAAACCUUCCUUGCAAUAUGAUUUAUAAGAGGAAUCACAAUAGGAAUUUCGAGCAUUUUUAUUUUGAGGCUAGCAAGGUGGAAAACAUGGAUAUUUUUGGUGUUUACUCUCAAUGUAAGAGUAGAACAUUUUUGGGUAUUCUGAAUGGGAUAUAAGUGGAUGCGUACUUCCAGUGUAGAAGUAGCAUGGUGGAUGUGGUGUGUACGUGAUCUUGAUUUAAAAAGCAUGAUAAGCUCCUAAGGGUCAAACAAAGCUCGAGAAACUCAAAGCAAUUACAAGCAGCGAUAAAUGUGUGGAGGUUUCCUAUUCUAAAAUGUAUGGCUGUGGUAGGAAUUUUACUCUCUGUCACACAAGGAACUCAUCAUGUGUUUUUGUAUUUUUAAAAUUUAAAUCUCCAGAAAUCAGUGUCACUAGGAACUAGAUAAAUAGCAGCUCAAACCAAAUCAUAUCAUACCCGUCAAUUACCUAGACUUAGAUCAAGUGUAUGCUCCCACAGGUUUCAGGUGUAAAGUAAAUUAUCAUGUCAAAACUAUCAUGUCUAGUAUUGGGGAGAACUCUAAGUUGAAAAACUAGGUACUUGAAAGGAACUAGAAUAGAGCAACUAUUCAUCAUCUCCAUGGUGAUCAUAUCAAGAGUCGAUUUAUUCAAAUUAAAUACUAGCAAACUCAAAGAUUUAAAGCAAAGUUUUGUACGCAUUCUUUUUAUGUGGUUUUCUUCUUUUUCAUAUUUGUUUAAAUACAUAGCAACUAAAAUAAACACACAAAAUGAUUUAAAUUGCAAAAAAUUAAAACAUACCUAGAUAACUAGGGGCAGCCUCCCCCAAGGUGGCUGAUGACGUGGUUCACUAAAUGUUCCAAUGGGCCAACAACGCCGCAAGGUUAUCGUUCUCAUGUUGUUGUUCUUGCUGAAUCUGGGCCAACAUCUCGCCAUGGUUCUGCAACAUCCCUUGCUGAAAUUCUUGUUGUUCUUGGAUGGUAUGGAGGGUGUUGUCGGUGCGCCGACGGAAUGUCAACUCCUCAUUGUGGUGCUGCUGAGUGUAGUGGAACCCCACAUCGGAUGCUCGUCCGUACUAUAAGUCCUGUGAAUGUCCUGCAGAUGAUGAUGGUCCAUAAGGGUCAUAUGAAUACAUAGGCUGGUGGUAUGGGUGCUCCUGCCACUGCUCCUCUCCUUCAGGCAUGGUGGUUUGUUGUUCCCACGGGUUCCUCAACAUGCGAUAGUUGUGUGCACCCCAGCUGUCAUAGCUAGCAUGUGCCGGCUCUUCUAGUUCAGGGUCAGCUUUAGCCCAUCCUAGUGCGGACUGAUGUGGUACCCUCACAGAUGCAGAUCGCUGUGGUUGCAAUUGGCUCGUUGGUGUAGCCUGAAAAUCAAUCAAAAGCGAACUGACAGAGUAGAGGGCAAGUCCCAGGUUAGGUAACCGGAUCCUGCUAUUAGUGUAAAGCAUGUAUAGCACGAUAUGUUCCCUUUUUAGCAAAUGCGCAUGAGAGAAGUGUUCAAAACCAAUAUAAGUUCUAUGGUUCUGAAUGUACUCAAAGUCUGCACCUUCUAUCAAAUUUAAUCUAGUAGCAAUACGAGUGGUCAAAGAUGUACAAGUAAUUUCUCCUAUCAAACUCGGUAUGCUCAACCAAUGCUCAACCAUGAGACGCACCGGAGAGACUUGUCUCUUCUUGACAACCGCAUAUAUCAACAGUAAAUCUCCGACUCUAACUCUGCGGAUGUCAUCUCUAGAGAUGAAAACAAUGCCUAUCCAUUUGUGUAAAAAUCUAAGUGUAGGGUGCUCGAUCUGACUAACUCUUGGUUGAUAGAAAUUUGUGUCUCUAGAAAACUCUUGCCAAAACUGAUGUCGGUUAAUGUCUUCUAGUGCAGCAUCUAAGUCUAUGGCAGCAGUGGGUGGAAAACCUAGGAGGUUGCUAAGCUGUCUCCAAGUGAGUGUAAAAGAUUGUUUGAAGAGCCUAAAAAAGGCAACACCUAGCUCAGUCAUUUGCAGGGUGCAAAGAAAUUCUAUCGUAAGUAGCUUUGACCCAUUCUCAGUAAUAUCCCAGAAAUUUCCCCAUCCCACUAAGUUGAAAAUCAUAUCGAGCUCUCUAUCCAUACUGGCCUCUUCUAAAAGUUGAAAAUCUAAUGCUUGAGUAUGGCCGAAUGGUUUACCUUUCAAUUUCUUAUAGAUGUUCUUUUCACGCUAAUUUCUUAGUCCUAGCUCGGUUGGCUUGGUGAGGACUCGUUGUCGAGGCGUCGAAGGAGAUGCAGGGUCUUGUGAUAGCGGCGGGUCGUCGAUGCUCAUCUCGGACGUGGCUCUUGAAGAACUCCACGUUGUCCUUCCUGAUCCUAGGUUUGAGAUCGCACCGCUGGCGGCCUUCACCCACUUGCUCAUCCUAACAACAACUUGCAACAAACAAAACUUGUGGAGAGGAUUAAAGGUUGGUUAGUGGGUGGUUGACCGAGGAUUCUUUAUUGUUUCUAAUUGGCCAGCAUCUCUACUAAUCAAGCUCUACAUCUCUCUGAAAUUUCAGCACUUCUUCUCACUCACAACUUCCUCCCUGUCACUCAAGAGCAAGGCUACUACUUCCUUCUUUCUUUCUCACUUCUCCUCUCUCUACUAGAGCUCACACUUCUCGGAAUCAGAAACUUGAGGAACUGGUGGUUUUCUGGAAUGCUUGUGUGAUGAAAUGAAGAGAGGGAGGUGGUGGUUUUAUAGAGGAGCCAGCAAGGGGGCGGACGCCCUGGCCGACCACCCCUAGUGGCCAACUUUCUCCUUCUUUUUCUCCACUCACUCUUGUCUAAAGCUAAAGCAAAAUUUGUGUUGGUUGAGUGCGUUUGGAUGGUGGAAAAGGAGUGGUAGUGGAGACAUGAUGUGAUGGAUGUGAGUGUGACUCUAUGACACAUGGGUCCCAAGAGGUGGGUCCCAUCUUUUUGUAUUUUAAAUAUAUAAAUAAAUACUAUAACUGAAAAUUAAGGAAAUAAAUUGAACCACUAGAAAUGCAUGAGUAAAUAUUUUUGGGCCACCAUGGUAGAUAGUCAAUACGGGUUUUUACAAUAAAAACUUUUCUACGUGGGGCUUUACUUUUCAUAUUUUAUUAUUUUUAUUUUAUUUUAUGAGCAAGCAUGAAAUAUGAUUAAGAUAUAUAUGAUGAAGGAAAUAAGUAUAUACAGUAAAGAUGGAUAAAUACCGAUUUACCUCCUGACGAGGGUUCAAAUAUUUUUAGUCCUCCGAAUGAGACCUCUAAUAUAAUUUAUUCUUCAAUGCUCUCCAGCUCCGAUGACGGCUCUGAUGAUUCUACAUUCUUCUUUUGGAAUGCCAUCUUUGCAGAGAGCUCUGCUUUUGAUUUGAAGGUGAAGCGUUCUUCUUUUCCAUUUAUGGUGAACUUGAUUUCUCCAAUCCCGACAUCAAUGUGUGUGUUGGCAGUGCUCAAAAAGGGUCUUCCAAGAAUGAUCGACACUUUUGAGUCUGGCUGCAUAUCUAGUACCACAUAGUCUACAAGCACAAAGAAUUCUCUUAUCUUGACUGAGAUGUUCUUAGCAAUUCCCAAAGGAUAUCGAUCUGAUUGAUCUGCCAGUUGAAGGCACAUUGAUGUUGGUUCGAGUGUUGAAUACUUGAGCAUGUAGAACACGGCAGCGGGCAUCACACUGACACUUGCUCCGAGAUCACAUCGUGCAUUAUUGAAGUGUUGGUCUCCAAUUGAGCAAUCAAUAGUGGGGCAUCUAGGAUCUUGUUUCUUCUCUGGUGACUUGUUUAGGAUGGCCGCACUACACUCUUUUGUCAGCUUGGUGACCUCCAUGGUGGGCAAUGGUCUCUUCUUGUUAAGGAUAUCUGAAAUUUACUUGUUAUAUGUAGGGACCUGAAUGGAAUCCAGUAGAGGUAUUUUGACAUAUAACUUUGGAAUAACCUCUACAAACUUAACAAACUGCUCAUCCGAUUGUGGUCUUCUAUUUCUACAGGGAAAUGGUAAAUAAGUGGUGUCUUGAAAAACAUGUAUCAUCUCCCGGUCUUGUGGAAUCUUCAUUUGUGGAAUCUCUACUCUGGCUUCAUUAUUAUUUUCAUCUUGUGCCACUGCUGGUACUCCUGGUGCCCUUCUUGCUCCUUUUGGACAUGGGGGAUCUCUAGUAGACUUCCCUCCUCUUGUAUUAAUACCUUUGACCUACUCAAUGUUAGUGGCAACAGGCAAUGCAGCAGCUAACUGUGACAUUUUUGCUUCCAUCCUCUUAUUGAAUUCCAACUGAUCUUCCAUAGCACAAGAGAAAUAUUUCAUCUUCAAAUUUAUAUCUUCCAAAACUUUAUCAUUUGCAUUGAGCUUCUCCAUAAGUGUAUUAUUGAUCUUAUCCCUCAAGGUAGGUUGCUUAGUACCCUUACUAGAACUCAUACCUUGGGUGUUAUUCCACUGUCUCCAUGUUGGUUGAUGUGGAACCUUCCUUAUUGUAGAGCUUUCAUAGCUCUUCCAAUCGCUCUUUGGUCAUCCUUGAAUUUGGCUCGUUGAUGAAGUCAAACCAAUAAAUCUUCCAUCUUGGUAGACAAUGCUUUUACUUAUUCGAGUAUCUCUUCACUUUGGUGACAAUAUUGAAUAUUUCCUUGGGAUCAGCCUUGAUUUUCUGCAUUCUUACCCAAUAGUAUCUCAGCUUUCCGAAGAGUAAGUGACAAAAAUGAUCCUCCAGCGAUCGCUUCUAGGUGCUCAUGAGCCUUCGAAGUUAAUCCAUGAUAAAAAGCCUUGCAUGAGUAACCAUUCUUCCAUUCCAUGAUGAGGACAAUAUAAGAUGUAUCCUUGUAAACGCUCCCAUGCUUCUGAAAUGGUUUUUGCUUUCUGCUACUGGAAACUGGUAAUCUUUCCUCUUAAGGCAUUGGUUUUGCCUAUAGGAAAGAACUUUGAUAGAAAGGCCUUCGAACACUUUGCCCAUGUGUUGAUGUCUUCUUGAUUGGCAUAGAACCACUGCUUCGCUCUUGCCAUAAGUGAGAAUGGAAAGAGGCGAAGUAGAAUGAUGUCUUGAGCAAUGUCCUUGACGGUGAUUGUGCUCCCAAUCUCUAGGAAAUCCUGUAGAUGUGCACUUGCAUCUUCAUGAACCUUUCCACUUAAUUGAGAAGUUUGCACCAUGUGGCUGAGGCUAGGCUUGAGCUCAAACUCAAGAUUCUCAGUUUCAAGUGUUGGACCAGUGCGGAUAUUCUCGAUGCAUGGAGCGGAGAAUUCGCAUAGAGUCUUGUUAGCCAUGGCUUCAGGAACUGGUGACGAACCUCUUCUUCAUUGAUUUGAAUUGAUGAAGAGUUGAAUAAAUCACGAAAUCAAUCCUGCAAAUACCCUGUAUAAAAUAUAGACAAAAGACAAAACAAGGGUAAGCCUGCCAAAACAGAGGUGCCUUGUUAUGAUUUUCUCAAUUAGUAUCUAUUUGAUAAUUUUUCUCUGGAUAGCCUAUGCUCCUCCCUAGCAACGAUGCUAGAAAUGCUUAGUGGCAUUUAUUAACACAAUCACCAAAGAUAGACCAAAAGCCUAAUCCCCAACAUCGGCGCUAGAAAUGCUUGUUGGUAUUUCUUAGCAUCACCUUAAUACUAGGUUGUCAUCCCUAGUAGUGACUCUAGAAACACAAGGGGGAUGGUAUUGGAUAACUGAACUCUUGGAAUAAUGAUAUGUACUAUAGAAGGUAAUCCUCAAGCACACAGAUCAAAUAACAUUGUAGCACUUCAUCGGGAGUAUUCUAUAUAUCGUAUUUAUAUUUUAGCUGAGGAAGGAGCUAAGGAGUAGGCUCAGAGAUGGAUUUGUCAAAUAUGAUUACUAAUGAGGAAACCAAUCACACAGUCACUUGCAAGGUAGGGGUAAGCCAAUAAUAAUAAUGAUAUGUAUGAUAAAACCAUGAUAAACCAGAGAUUAGAGAUAGAUUACUCAUCAUAUAGGUAGGCAAACAAGUGAUUAGUCAAGAGAUUGAACUCCUAUGUAGCAACUAAGUUACUAAAUCUUUUCAUUUACUCUAGCAUAUAUACAAUCAUGUAUAGCAUAAUGUCUCUGAAUUCAUGCAUAAGGAACUGUUGACACCGUUUUUGGGCACAAGUUAGGAUGGUCGGUGAAGCUUGAGUCGGCAGUCAAGGAGGUGAUGUGUCUGGCCGAUAAGGAGAUUGCCGAUAGCCAAUGAUGCCGAUGACAGGACAACACGAGGAAGAUGUUGCUAAGUCUGGCGGUAGUUUCUGAUCAUUGCCGAUUGCUAAUACUGAUGAUUGCCGAUGCUGAUGAGGAAAUGUUUGGGAGUUGUUAAGAGAGAUACAGGGUGUGUGCCGAUGACGAUGAAGGAAGGCGUGGGGGUCGCUAGGAAGACAACAGUGACAUGCCGAUCACCAUGAUAGAUAGAUAGUUAUUUUCCAUAUGUGUUAGAGUUUGCUUUAUGUACGACUCCUGUUAUGUUUAGAGUUAAAUCAUAGUCAUAUAUGGUUGUAACUCUUUAGGGCAGAGUAUAAAUAUGGGCCUAGCAGCAAUGUAAAAAACACAAUCAAUCAAUAUCAUACACAAGUUUUACAUCUACUGUUAUAUCUACUUUUUUCGACGACUUCAUCAACUUGCAUGUUUUCUUUUCUUUACGAGUUCUUAAGGAUUCAUCGAGCAAUACUCGGCAAAUUCUAAAGUUCCACGUGAGUACCUCUUGGCCGUGGCAUCCGAGCGCAUCGCUGUUGUUGGGACUAAAGUAUUCAAGUUAUCACCUUUGUCGAUUACUAGGUCAAAUCAGCUAGCAUGCCUCAAUGUUUGAAUUGGGUAUUAGCCCUUUGUGUUUGCAAAUCUGUUUUUUGCAUCAACAAAUCUUUUGACACACCCGGUGGGACCAAUCUAUCAACAAAAUCAACAUGGCUACUGCUGAUCUCAAUACGAAGAACAUCAUUGCUGUGACAGAAGCCGAUCUCAGGGACGAGCAGAAGCAGGCUAUGGAGAGGGCUAUGGAGGAGUACAAGCAGCUCUGCUUAAAAUCCUUCAGCGUCAACAGGAGUGGGGAAGUUAUCUAGAAGCAAGAACUGCUGGUGCCUCGGCAAGUUACUUUUGAUCCCAAUCCUGGUAAAUUGCAAGACAUGGUUGAUAAUGCUUUUAAUUGUGCCUUGAUUAAUCACUCCACCACUAGAACUUUAAAGAAGGACAGACACCACCACUAUAUACUGGCCCGGCCUAUCAUCAGCUAGGGUUGUCAUCGGUUACACUCCGGCCGUUGCGGGUAUAGAAGCUACUUGUCCUCCAAGCACAUUAGGGUUGACUAAUGAGCAAUCUACACUGAUGAGACCUAAUCCAACGACAUCAGGGGGACGGGUUCAGCUCAACACAGAUCUAUUGACAUCGGUAAUGUCAGGAUCUGUGUUUUAGAAUUGUCAAGUCUCUCCCAAUUGGUGGGGAUAUGGUAUGCUGUUGACACUUGCUAACACCACUUGAAUACUAGGUUGUCAUCCCCAGCAUGGCACUAGAGUGUACUAUGGUAUUUAUAUGCACACAGAUAACUACGCAAGCGCACGGAUACCGUUGUAGCUUUUACCCGGUCAAUGGUUUUAUCGUAUCCACAGGGAAACGGGAGAACUGAUCUACGCUCUAACUUAACCUAGAUAGAUAGGUAGGUGUAAAUAGGAAAGAUAAUAGAAUUGAAUAAGAACAAUAUUAAAGGUAAGAUAACAAUGGGUGAUAAUAUGGGAAUAGAGAGUAGAGCAAUCUAGUAAAUGGGCGAUGGUAGGAGAAUAGAGAUGAUAACUAUGGUUUCUCUACUUCAAAGGGGUAUGUCUAUGUCUGGGACGAACCACGUGAUAAGAAUACACCACAAAGGAUGCUUAUCCAUAGGCCGAUAAACCCUACCCGUCCUGCUAACAAGAGGUGGACUACAGGGGACCAACGUAACUGUCACCUACGCGGCCUACCACACGAUCUAGCUAGACAGGGAAUAUCCACAAGUAAUCUAGAUCUAAGCACCACGCUUACACCUAUACUACAACUCUCACAUAUAGCGUCCUAUAGAUUAAAGUACUCAAAAGAGUUGUGAACCAGAACAUACAUGAUUAGUAAUUGCAUAAUGAAUUAGAAGUAGAUUACCAGAGUCAUCCCAUGAGCAAACUUGAUUAGAGCUUGAUCAUGGCGAAGUACAACCGGAGGAAGAACUGAUAGGCCGACCUCUCCUCUAAUCCUCCGUCGCUCUCCAUCUUGCUACUAUCUAGAUCUACUCUAGUUUAGAGAUGAGAGGAGAGCUCUCAUCUCCAAACCCUAGCUUUUGCUCUGUCUAUGAAUAAUGAAUAAUGAUCAAGGGGUGCCUCCUCCAGGGGACAGGGGGUCUGCUUAUAUAGUCCCCUCAAGUGAAUCUGGGCCGUCAGAUCAAACCGACAUUGAUUGAACGGUUAUCCUUGAUCCUUUAGGUCGGUGGAGCAUAAUCCACGAAACGAGUCCUGAUUGGACUCUGUAGCUGGGCGGGCGCCCAAGGGGGGAGGGCGGGCGCCCUGCCCCCAAGCCCGCUCGGCCUCCCGUUCGUUCCCGUGGCUUCUGGAGUCUUCUAGACGAUAGAAAUUUGUGCGGCACAUUAAUAUCUCUAUGUAAACCCGACGUGUGGGCCUUUCCUCCAUAUUUCCUGAUAACCCCCUGCAGAAAUAGACAAACACCAAAACUCGUGGAAUUCUGUCAAAUAAAACCCUAAGUUUGGGUGUUGGUUGUAUUUGGAUCCUUUUAUUUAUUUAUUUGAUGGUUAAACUUGAUACUUAAGGACCGUCAACAACUUCCCCAAGCUUACCUCUUGCUCGUCCCUGAGCAAGGAUAGACUUCAGAGUUUCUAUAGUGGUUUCAUGACUUAAAGGUACACAUGCGUUCAAAUAAGAUCUCAUCUCUGUGUUAGGGUAAACUGUUAAGAUUUAAACUUACUCAUAUUACCUUCCACCAUGGGGCUGGCAACUGUCACUUAUGUCUUGAGCAGUUAAAAGAUAGAACGGUCAAGUCAAGCACCAUGUCUCUUGUUCUUUGAUCAACUAUGGCUCUAGAGUUUUUGCAGAUUUUCAAAUAAAACUCAAAGAUUCCUUGUAUGACUCUCUCUAGUCUCCCUUUUGUGGUAUUUCUGGAUCCUUACCAAAGCAGUGAUGAUAUAUGCCUUCUCUCAAAGUAUGUGGUAUUUGUGGUAUGAGGCAUAAUGAUAUUGCCUUCUCUCUCACCUUACUCUAACAAGGUUUUGAUAUCUGGAGCUCAUAGGUGGGAGACAGCUAAUACAUACUUACAAGACAUUUAUUGCAUAGCCAAACCAUGGAUCCAGAGAAACAAGUCAAUAAGUCAAAUCAAGAUGUGCAUGUGUGGCGAAUGAAUGGUGUAUGGUGUUGAUGGUCAUAAUGGUGAAAGUCUAAUUCUACUUUUGCUCUUUUGAGGGGAUACAUACCUUUCUUGCACUUUGAAGCUUUUUUAGGGGAAUGAGAUGCUCUAUAUUUUCUUCUUCUUUUUUUUCUUUUCUCUUAGGUGGGUAUCUUGUACCCCUAAUUCUACUGUCGGACACUUGUCCAUUUUUACCUCUCGUCUCACUUUUUCUUUUCUUCGAGGUUCCGGGCACUUGCCCCUUUUUAUUUCCUCGUAUUCACUUUUUUUUCAGAGCACUCACCCUCCUGGAAUAAUGUAGCAAGUGGUAGUAACCAAAAUAUCUCGAGCAUUUAUUUCACGGGGAAUAACAGGGAUAGGAUAAUGUUUUUGGCUAUUCUCUCCUGGAUAGGAGUAGAAUAAUUUUAGGUGAAUCUGGAGAUGGAAAGGAGUGGAUGUAUGUGGAUGCGUACUUCCGGAGUAGAAGCAGCAUGUAUGAGUGAACGUGCAAGUGAAUCUUGAUUUCAACCGCAUGACAAGCUCCUAAGGGUCUACACAGCUUGACCACACUCAAUGCUCAUAAGCAGUAAAAAGUAAAUGUAUGGUUCCUAGUCUAAUAAGCAUGUAUAUGUGGCUGGGGUAGGAUUUUAAACUCUCAUCAUACAGGAACUCAUCAUGCAACAUUUUAAAGAUUUUCAAAGAUAAAAUUCUCUAGAAUUCUAGCAUCUCUAGGAACAGAUAAACAGCAGCUCAGCUUUCCCAUAUCAUAUCCGUUAACGACUUAGACUUUAGAUCAAGUACUCUUCCCACAAGUUAAGAUUUAGAGUAAAUCUUAAUUCAUAACAGUCAUGCCUAAACUUGAGAGAGAAUUUAAUUUUGAGAACUAGUCAUGUUAGAGCAACUAUUCAUCAUUUCUAUGUGAGAGCUUAUCAUGAGGGUUCAUAGCAAACUUUAUUUAUUUAUUUAUUUAGCAAACUAAGCAAAGGUAUAUAUAGAAGAACAAAAAUCUUUAUUUGGGUUUUAUGAUUAUGCAUCUUUUUAUUAUUUUAGUAAAGUAUAAACGCGAGUAGAAACACUUAGUUGGAUAAAUGGGGGUGGUCUCCCCCAAGCUGGAUUUUGACGUAAUUUCUUUUGAUGUAGCUAGCAGGUGGCGGAGGUGUAUUUGAAUGUCGGCAGUACCCUGAAAGCGAUUAGGAUGUCCUCCGUCUGCUAGUCUUCUUUGAUCCUUAAAUUCUGUGGAGCUCAAAUAGACAACAAAGCUUUGUGGAACUAGUUAAGUGUUAGCAUAAAUAUCUAGCCUUUAUCAUGUUGAGCCUCCUUAAUAAAUGUUACUCUCUUUGGUAGGAUCAUAAAUUUAUUUUUAUAUUUUCAUUUUUAUAGGACAGGAAUAUAUUUAUUUUAUUUUUACGCCACCACAGUGAAUGUACUUAUGGGUUUUAUGCCACGAGCAUACUCACAUGGGGCUUACUGUUUUUAACAUUUUUAAUUUCUUUUCAAGAUAGCAUGAUUAACUGACAAGCCAUUUAAGGAAAGUAAAUAAAUAAAGGGAAAAGGGAAUGUAGAAAGGAUAAAUAUAGAUAAUUACCGAUUUUAC